rnacentral:rRNA from 1 species
UGCAUUCAUGAUUUACAUUUGAGUGAGUGGCGAACUGGUGAGUAACACGUGGGAAACCUGCCCAGAAGCGGGGGAUAACACCUGGAAACAGAUGCUAAUACCGCAUAACAACUUGGACCGCAGGGUCCGAGCUUGAAAGAUGGCUUCGGCUAUCACUUUUGGAUGGUCCCGCGGCGUAUUAGCUAGAUGGUGGGGUAACGGCUCACCAUGGCAAUGAUACGUAGCCGACCUGAGAGGGUAAUCGGCCACAUUGGGACUGAGACACGGCCCAAACUCCUACGGGAGGCAGCAGUAGGGAAUCUUCCACAAUGGACGAAAGUCUGAUGGAGCAACGCCGCGUGAGUGAAGAAGGGUUUCGGCUCGUAAAACUCUGUUGUUAAAGAAGAACAUAUCUGAGAGUAACUGUUCAGGUAUUGACGGUAUUUAACCAGAAAGCCACGGCUAACUACGUGCCAGCAGCCGCGGUAAUACGUAGGUGGCAAGCGUUGUCCGGAUUUAUUGGGCGUAAAGCGAGCGCAGGCGGUUUUUUAAGUCUGAUGUGAAAGCCUUCGGCUCAACCGAAGAAGUGCAUCGGAAACUGGGAAACUUGAGUGCAGAAGAGGACAGUGGAACUCCAUGUGUAGCGGUGAAAUGCGUAGAUAUAUGGAAGAACACCAGUGGCGAAGGCGGCUGUCUGGUCUGUAACUGACGCUGAGGCUCGAAAGUAUGGGUAGCAAACAGGAUUAGAUACCCUGGUAGUCCAUACCGUAAACGAUGAAUGCUAAGUGUUGGAGGGUUUCCGCCCUUCAGUGCUGCAGCUAACGCAUUAAGCAUUCCGCCUGGGGAGUACGGCCGCAAGGCUGAAACUCAAAGGAAUUGACGGGGGCCCGCACAAGCGGUGGAGCAUGUGGUUUAAUUCGAAGCUACGCGAAGAACCUUACCAGGUCUUGACAUACUAUGCAAAUCUAAGAGAUUAGACGUUCCCUUCGGGGACAUGGAUACAGGUGGUGCAUGGUUGUCGUCAGCUCGUGUCGUGAGAUGUUGGGUUAAGUCCCGCAACGAGCGCAACCCUUAUUAUCAGUUGCCAGCAUUAAGUUGGGCACUCUGGUGAGACUGCCGGUGACAAACCGGAGGAAGGUGGGGGAUGACGUCAAAUCAUCAUGCCCCUUAUGACCUGGGCUACACACGUGCUACAAUGGAUGGUACAACGAGUUGCGAACUCGCGAGAGUAAGCUAAUCUCUUAAAGCCAUUCUCAGUUCGGAUUGUAGGCUGCAACUCGCCUACAUGAAGUCGGAAUCGCUAGUAAUCGCGGAUCAGCAUGCCGCGGUGAAUACGUUCCCGGGCCUUGUACACACCGCCCGUCACACCAUGAGAGUUUGUAACACCCAAAGUCGGUGGGGUAACCUUUUAGGAACCAGCCGCCUAA